AUUCGCCUUUUUGGGCUUAUAGAGCUAUUAUACGGCUAAUAUAGGGCAUGUCUGCUGUAUAAUAGCACUAUAUUAGCAGGCAGGGCACAUUAAAGUGCUAUUGAUUAAUUGAAUUUCAUUCAAAUGAAUAAGAGAUGCAACUUUUUACUUACUCUCGAAGUGCACAUUUUAUUAUUAUUGAUGAGUAACGGUGCCGGCCAAGUCCUUACGGUCAGUUGGGAUGCGGAAAGAAUAUUAUUGUGUAAUGACUGUUGCAUCUGGAGACCGAGAAUAUCUCUACAUCCCCACAUCACGGAGAGGAUGUUGAUUAGUGAGGGAGGAAAAAGAUCUGGGAGUCACCUUUUGACGAUCUUGCGAUCCAUGGAUAGAGAGGAAAACUAUGACUCUUACGUAAAACUUAGUUUUCCAUUUUUGUCUCGCGGUGAAAAGAUAUUGGGAGAUAUUGGCAGAAAAUGGAAAAUGUAUAUCCUUGAUGGCAGCCCUGCGCCUAACGAGUGUAGAACUUCUACACUGAACCAACUAAUCCGAUUGCAUUUAUCUGAAAAAUCAUAUAUCCAUACCGGAAUCGUAAUUUAAUAGAUUUCAUAGUUAUCCAUUAAAACCUAUAUGAGGAUCCAAUAAAGGUUGAAUAUUAUUCAUAUGAAAGCAAUUUGAACUUCACAUAAAACAUAUUGGAUAUCAAUUGUCUGGCCGAUUAUCACAAAAUCAGAUAAAUGGUGUAUGAUUGUAUAAUGUGAAAAAAAUCCUAUUAUCUGUUUAUCUACAGUCGACCAUGUCAGUCAUUGCACAGUUUGCUAGUGAAUCUUUUAAUCUGAGUUGUUGCAAGUUUUCAAAGGUAAGUUGUAAAAACAGUUGAUAGCUAAUAUUUAUACAGUAUAAUAUGUUUUUCUUCUAUUACAGAAUGUGGCAUUACUUUUUGACCCUGCCUCAUAAUUCUUUUUUCUAAAAUUGCAUUCCAACGAUAAAUUGUAUGCUCAUGAUUAAGGAAGCAGCGUGCCACAAUAUUUUCAGCAGAAGCAUUCUAGGUGAUGGAUCCGAUUGGCCAUAUGGUCAUUGGUACCGGGCCCCAAAGAGAAAGCGGUCAGACGAUAGCUUCGACCAGAGGGAAGAAGAAGAAGAUACAUCCGAGCUCUAACCUUUUGCUCCCUUUUCUUCGCUGUUGACUACAUCUGGUAAACCAAAUGAAAUUACCUUAGUUGACUACUCUGAUAUGACUGCUAUGUACCUCAUGAAAUGCUAAAUAAAUAUGUUAAAUGGUAAAACUGCAUAUAAAUGCCUAAACGUUUGUAUUUAUUUCAAAAUUUUCAUUAGAGAAACCAAUAUAAUCUUUAAUGGUUUCAUUUGAAGGUUAUAUGAUUCAGUCUAUGAUUUCAGCUGCAAUUGGUUUCACUAGAUAUCUACUUUUUAUAUAAAAGUUAUGUGAAGUUCGUAAUGAACUCUAUCUAUAGGAUUUCAAAAUGAAAGU